AUACAUUCUCCACGAAAAACGUCACCUCCGUAGAGUCGUCAAGAUCAACCUAACCCCUAUGUUAAACGCUUGAUCAUUUAGGACUCGAUCGAUCUCGAUGACGGGCGGCGUGGCUCGAUCAUCUAGGAAUCGAUCGAUCUCCACGACGGGCGGCGCGGCUCGCAUGAACAAGGACGAAGUCGAUGUACCAGAUAAGGCGUGCGAUCUCGAAAACGACAACUACAAGCCGUCACAAGUCGAGUUCGUCUAUGGUCGUCGCCGCCGUCCCCACCGUCCCACGCCCGUUAACGCCCAGCAGCCACCGCCUUGAGACCCGCCGGGAGAGGGGCGAGGAGCCGCAGAUGAGGAGAAAGUUGGGAGUAGAUAAUCGCCCACAGGAGGAGUCUCGGCAGAGUUGGGCGAGUUUCAUUCAGCGCUCCCACCAACCUGUAGCGCCCGGAUCCGCCCCGUCCCCAUCCCUUCACGCCUGCGCUGCCCUUCCCGCAGAUUUCACCGCCGCCGCCAUCCUUGAAUCCACCGGCGCCGAUGUCCCGCUGAAAUCCACGACGCGCCGCCAUAGCCUUGACCUGGAUUGCGCCUACUCCUGUACUGGAUCUAGGUGUGGCCUGGCUCCACGUAUCUCCAGAUGAUGUGCUACUUCAAUUUCUGAAUAAGAAUGCAGCUUAACAGUGCCGCUCAGCAGGAUUCCUUGACUAAUUGGUAUCCCAUCGGUGAAUCUGGAUUUCAGUGGAUUUCAGUGGACAUCGCAUCCUACAGAGUUUAGGUCCAUCAGGGUUCAAUUUUCGUCAGGGUUCAUCAAGAAUGGGAACACAAUGGGCAGGAAGAAAAAGGGAAUCUAAAUUUAAAGGGAAAAAAUUUGAUAAUGCUUUUGGACCAGCUGAUGAUCAAGAGGUUGUAUUUGCUGAGAGCUUGCCAGUCUUGAGGUCAGUGACGGAUGGUUCAAUUCAUGCUUGGUUUGAUCUCGAGCGGGUGGGCGCAGCGGCGCUGGCCUAUGAGGCGAACAAGCUGCUGGUGAUAGAGAACGUGCAGGUAGCGCCUCGGCAGGACGGCGAGGAAUUUAAUUUCUAUGAUGCUACGAGAGAAAGGCAUGUUCGCCUCCCUGGAAUUUACGUUGCAAAUACUGCAAGGCCUCCCUGUAUAUGCAUGACAAUGGAUAUUUCCAUCAUCACCUCAAACUAUAAUGUCUUCUCUCAGUAUUAUGAGAUUCUGUUUAAAAUCUGUUGGUGACAAUGGAUAAUUUUCAUUUACAUGGCAUAUACUUAUAGAUGAUUACAUGUGUACCACAUAUACGGUUGAGACAAGAGACAAGGUCUGUCACUCUUCCAUGGCGCCAAGCGCUGGGUUGUGGGCCUACCGCGAGCCUCCUCCCUUGAGUGCCAUAACCAACGACAAGCGGCGGAGAAGAACAUGGGCGUGCCACCAGGGAUAGGUAAUGGCGGCAGCGGUGGGGAGAAGGCGCUCGUCGUGGCUAGCGACUGGAAGGCAUGGGACUGGGCAGUCCGGUCGCCGGUAGUGGGGAGGCAAGGAAAGGAUUCUUGACCAAAGAGAAAUAGAGGGAGGUAGAAAGUGGGAAGGUCGAGAGUGGGGAGGCAGGCUAGAGGCACUAAUAGGAUGGUUUGUGUCCCAGUUUGGGUGUGAGUUUUUAUUUUUAUUUUUUUGCAAUGUCAUGACUCAAGGAAAGUUUCAAGUUAAUUAAGGCUUAAAAAG